AUUGAACGCUGGCGGAAUGCUUUACACAUGCAAGUCGAACGAUGAACCUUAGCUUGCUAAGGGGAUUAGUGGCGAACGGGUGAGUAAUAUAUCGGAACGUGCCUUGUAAUGGGGGAUAACUAGUCGAAAGAUUAGCUAAUACCGCAUACGCCCUGAUGGGGAAAGAAGGGGAUCUUUGGAACUUACGGUAUAAGAGCGGCCGAUAUCUGAUUAGCUAGUUGGUGGGGUAAUGGCCUACCAAGGCGACGAUCAGUAGCUGGUCUGAGAGGACGACCAGCCACACUGGAACUGAGACACGGUCCAGACUCCUACGGGAGGCAGCAGUCGGGAAUUUUAGACAAUGGGCGCAAGCCUGAUCCAGCCAUUCCGCGUGAGUGAAGAAGGCCUUCGGGUUGUAAAGCUCUUUCUCAAGGGAAGAACACUUACCGUCGAAUAAAUGGUGAGGCUGACGGUACCUUGAUAAGAAGCACCGGCUAACUACGUG
rnacentral:rRNA from 1 species